UUGCAUUUCUCUAAUGGACAGUGAUGAUGAGCAUUUUUCCAUGUGUCUUUUGGCUGCAUAAAUGUCUUCUUUUGAGAAGUGUCUGUUCAUAUCCUUCGCCCACUUUUUGAUGGGGUUGUUUGUUUUUUUCUUGUAAGCUGUAGACUGGAGCUGUUCCUAUUCGGCCAUCUUGGCUCCACCCCCCUGUUUACAUUUCUUAUUUGGUUUUGUUUUGUUUUGUUUUUUCCAUGCUCCAUUGCCUCCCUUACUAUACCUGGCCCACCAGAAACAUAUAUUUGGAAUGCAAUGUUAGUAGAGAUUGUAUGUAUAAGGUAGGAAGAAAAAAGAGGAAGAAAAAUAGAAACACAUCCAGAAGACAGGGAAGUUGAUCUGUGAGAGAAGGUUGGGGUUUUGGCAAGAAAAUAUUGGGGAAUAUUUAUAAGAACAAAAAUAAGAUGUUUGUCA
rnacentral:lncRNA from 1 species